rnacentral:rRNA from 1 species
GACGAACGCUGGCGGCGUGCUUAACACAUGCAAGUCGAACGGAAAGGCCCUGCUUUUGUGGGGUGCUCGAGUGGCGAACGGGUGAGUAACACGUGAGUAACCUGCCCUUGACUUUGGGAUAACUUCAGGAAACUGGGGCUAAUACCGGAUAGGAGCUCCUGCUGCAUGGUGGGGGUUGGAACGUUUCGGCGGUUGGGGAUGGACUCGCGGCUUAUCAGCUUGUUGGUGGGGUAGUGGCUUACCAAGGCUUUGACGGGUAGCCGGCCUGAGAGGGUGACCGGCCACAUUGGGACUGAGAUACGGCCCAGACUCCUACGGGAGGCAGCAGUGGGGAAUAUUGCACAAUGGGAGGAAGCCUGAUGCAGCAACGCCGCGUGCGGGAUGACGGCCUUCGGGCUGUAAACCGCUUUCGCCUGUGACGAAGCGUGAGUGACGGUAAUGGGUAAAGAAGCACCGGCUAACUACGUG